rfam:Phlebotomus papatasi Contig116.21, whole genome shotgun sequence.
GUAGGUUAUGGUGACAUGGCGCCCAAAACAUAUGUGGGUAUGUUCGUAGGGGCUCUUUGUGCCCUUGCCGGUGUACUGACCAUCGCCCUGCCAGUUCCUGUUAUCGUCAGCAAC